UACAGAGGUCCCGAGCGUUGUCCGGAAUCACUGGGCGUAAAGGGCGCGUAGGCGGCGCGGAAAGUCAACGGUGAAAGCUUGGGGCUCAACCCCGAGUCGGCCGUCGAUACUUCCGUGCUCGAGCACUGUAGAGGCAGGUGGAAUUCCGGGUGUAGCGGUGGAAUGCGUAGAGAUCCGGAAGAACACCGGUGGCGAAGGCGGCCUGCUGGGCAGUAGCUGACGCUGAUGCGCGACAGCGUGGGGAGCAAACAGG
rnacentral:rRNA from 1 species